GAGAUGUAUUCUUUUGAUAUGCACUUGCCUGCCUUCUAAUAAGCUCGUCGAUGAUUCUGUUUCUAUAGAAGACUGGUAAAUUUGUUUUAACUGUAACAUUUCAUGAUUGAUGAUCGGUCGGCACGGCAGGGAGUGCAUUUGCGAGUGGUAGGAGUAAGUGACAGCAAGUCAUUGGUUGUUGCGUCGGAUGUUUUCACAAAGGAGUUCAACGAUAACCUCUUAUCAGAAAUUUGUCGCCUCAAGGCGGGCCACUCUUCUCUCUCAACUCUUAUUGGUGAUUUCGGAGGUAAUCCUCUUGUAUUGUAUUGUUGAGGAUAUAAUAGAUUACUCAUUCUGUUUAUUUCUCAUGCUUUUGCUUUUCUUUUGAUUCUUUAUCAAAGGUGAAUGCCAAGUGUUUCUCGAUUCUGAUUUGAGAGGAAAGUUAUCAGAAAUUGCAUCUCUUCUGGGUAUAUCAACAGGUUCGUCUUCGUGACAAUUACUAUCUCACCGACCUUUAUACUUCUUUUGAAACACUGAUUAGUUGUUCAAUCAAUUGAAGUUUCAUGUUUGCUUUUAGAGUUUAGUGAUUCUUAUCAUUUAUUCACCUCAAGUAAGGUCAUUUCAAGCUUGGUCUUUUGCUUAAUCUUGCAACAGGUUUGGCCUUUGUUGAUUGCUCUGCCAGUUCUGAGACUGUUGAAAUAUUAACUCAAGCAUUUGAUUUGGGUUGUUGCAUUGUCUUGGCAAACAAGAAGCCUCUUACAUCUACAAUGGUAAUAACUUUACAAGGCUUCCUUAUUUGGUAGUAAAUGGACUUAGUUGGACAUGUAUAGUCAUCCUAUGGCUAUUCUGUGAUCAACCACUAACAGACUUAAUUCUGGAGAUGGCGACACUUCCUGCUGUCAUUAAAUGCUGCAAUGCCAUUUCUUUUGUGGCCAGUUCGAACAUUCUAUAUUUUUACCAUUUAAGAUGAAUUACGUUUGGUGUUUAAUUCUUUUAAAAUUAAAAAUGACAAAUUUUCAUUGAGCAAUUUAGUGCAAUAUUAAUGUUUUUGAAUUUCAUCUAGAGAAGAUAAUGAAAAUUCCUCUACAAAUCACUAAUUGGAAGAGCAUAUAUAAAUCUGUUGAAGGAAAAUGAUAACUUUUUGUUGUCCCUUUAUUUUCCAUACUGUUUUGUCUGCUAUUCAUGCUUAACAAGUUGUUUCUAUUGCAUGUGAAUUUUUAACCAACCUCAUGCUAUUCUGUAAUGUAGGAGGAUUAUGACAAAUUGGUCUCACGUCCACGCUGUAUUCGGUAUGAGUCAACUGUAAGUGAAGUUUCCUGCUUUUGUCAUAUAAAAGGAAAUCGUGGGUGAAGUGUCUCAUUUGAUGUCUGUUUCUCCAUAGGUUGGUGCUGGCCUUCCUGUCAUACCAUCCUUAAAUCGUAUUCUUUCUUCAGGAGAUCCUGUCCAUGGUAUUGUUGGAAGUCUGAGUGGUAUUGGUUUUCUUCUUUUCUUUUCUUUUUUGGGUUAGACAUUUAUUCUUCCUUCACAUAUGAAGUUCAUGCUUUUCCUGUAUCUGCUUGUAUUUUUUUGCAACCAUAUUUCAUAUAUGAAUAUUGGCUGUCAUUUGCAUAAUAUAUUUUGUAUUAGGUACAUUGGGGUAUGUAAUGAGCGAGGUUGAAGAUGGGAAGCCACUUAGUCAAGUUGUUAAAGCUGCUAAAAGCCUGGGAUACACUGAACCAGGUUUAAUUGUGAUUUUAAAUUUCUAUAUUGCAGUAGAUCAUAUCUUUUCUAUAAGUAUAUUCAGUUGCAUCUUCUAAUUUUGUUUAUGCAUGCUUACAAAUUUAUAUUAAAAUAUUUACACAAUUUAAUUCUUAUUAUUUUUCGUUUAUGGACUUUUUUUUUUGGCUGUAAUAUUGUUUUUCCAAAUAUUCAUGCAUUAAGCAUUGUUCUUUUCAGCAUUGUUUACCAUUGACCAGUGCUUUGGAAACUUGAAGCAAAAGUUUCUUCAAUUUGGUUUGGAUUAUUAAAACACAGGAAUAGCCUGGUUUGCUUUGGUUACUUUCUUUGCCAGGUUUAUAAAGCUAUCUAAUCCUGUGGGGUAUUUUAGUUGUAAGGGCUGGAAUUUUUGUUGGUGGCUAGUUUAGAUGAGUCUACAGCAUAUUUUAUAGGUUUUUUCACCCUGUGAAGUUGCUUUUGCUCUCCGGUUGACAUUUGUUUUACCUUUGUACUUCCUUUUCAUGCAUUAGAAAAAUUUUGUUUCUUAACAUAAUGAAAAAGAAGAAACAAACAUCACAAAAAGAUUCUAUUAUCAUUAAUUACACUUUAUGAAUUUGUUGAAGUGACUGACUGAUGACAAUUGAACCCAAGCAACUCAUCGGUACUUGUAAUUAUGGUGGAAUUCCUGAGUUUGUGGUUAUGAAAACUCCAUUAUUAAGCUUUUACGAAGACAACUUCCACAGCUGCAGAGGAGGAGAGACGCACCAGUGGUCUAGUGGUAGAAUAGCACCCUGCCACGGGUUCGAUUCCCGGCUGGUGCAUGUAUUUUUGUGGCCUUUUUGCCUUUUGGGGCAUUUGUCAGAAAAUACUAUCUCCACGUGCCUUCGUAAGUCACCAGCUUUUUUAAUUCAUAAAACUCUGGGACUGUCUCCAGAUCCACGGCAUGCAUAUCUUGUGGAUGUGGUGCAGCCAUCCAGACAAAUCGCAUCUCCCACGCACUUCUUAAUUCUUACCAGUUACCGCCCUUGAGCCUUCCAAUCCAAUUCCAACGAGCCGCCAGCUUAUAAUAACAACAACUUGCUUGGUCAAAGGACGAAAGGACAAACUGUGUCAUUAUUUGUUUUCGGUCAUUUCAAUGUGUGAACACUCGCUGACUCACAUCGGAAAGACCAAUAAAUAUCCAUGAAAAUGGGACAUGGCUACGGCGCGGAAGCUGCAAGUAACAGCUUCGAACCUUCCCAUUUCCAUCACCUUGCAUUGGGACCUCUUUCUCUCUCCUCUGGCACCCGUAGAAGUUCCCCAUUGGCUGCUGUUACUUACAGAAGCCGUAACAUAAAUGAUUCCGAGCUGCCCAUUUCGUACCCCUCUUAACAGUCAAACGUUCACAUUAGUGGCGUAGUUCACAUCCCCUACAUUCAUCUGGCACUAAUUAUAAAAAAUACACAGCCCACGAAGCAAAAGACAUUUCAUUUCAGUUGCAAGAGCAGAGCUUAGAGAGAAAAAAAAAAUGGUAAAAAGCGACGUGAAGGUUUUGGGUUUUUGGCCAAGCCCAUUUCUGAUGAGGGCAAGAAUCGCACUUAAGAUCAAGUCUGUGGAGUAUGAGUUUCUGGAGGAGAAUUUGGGAUCCAAAAGCGAGCUUCUGCUUAAAUCAAACCCUGUUCACAAGAAAAUCCCCGUUCUGAUUCACAAUGAUAAGCCUGUUUGCGAAUCUCUCAUUAUUGUCGAGUACGUGGAUGAGGCUUGGUCCUCUUCAGGUCCCUCUAUUCUUCCUUCUGAUCCUUAUGACCGUGCCGUUGCUCGUUUCUGGGCCGCUUACGUUGAUGAGAAGGUAUAUUUUCCUUUCUUUGUUUUGAAAAAAAUGUUUUAAGUCAAUGUUUUUUAUUCGAAUUAUGUGCAUCUAAAUUUUUUUAAUCUUUUUCAGUUUUGAAAACAGUUUUCGGAAAUUAAUAGAGUCUCUCUUGGUAAAUCAAGGAGGUAAAGCGCGUGGUUGGAAUUAUUUCCGGUGGCAAAAUGAACUUGAAAAGAAAACUAAAGAAAGAUUAAGAAAGCAGAGCCCAAAAGGAAAACAAUCAAUACAAUCUAGAAGUAAAUCUGUAGAAGUGACGUAUACUCACAUAUCUAAGGAAACAAAUAUACAUGAAUCUUAAGAGAUGAUACUGAUAGAGAUUAGAGAGAAAGCAAGAACGAAUCUUCAACUUGACAAAAAGCAUAUAAGAAUCAAUUGGUAGGUAGUGAUUGAAAUCUGGCCUUGAUUGAUCAAAUUAUGAUAUAUCUAUUAUGAUUUGCAGUGGUUCUCUGCCUUGAGAGACAUUGGUAGUGCAAAUGGAGCGGAAGCUAAGAAAGCUGCGAUUGAGCAAUUGAUUGAAGUCUUGGUUUUGCUGGAGGAUGCUUUUGUUAAGUGUAGCAAAGGGAAGGCUUUCUUUGGUGGAAACCAAAUUGGGUUUCUUGACAUUGCAUUUGGUAGCUACUUGGGAUGGCUGAGAGUGACAGAGAAAAUGAAUGAGGUGAAGCUCCUUGAUGAAGUCAAAACUCCUGGACUGUUCAAAUGGGCUGAGAGAUUCUGUGCUGACGCUGCUGUCAAAGAUGUUAUGCCUGAGACCGAUAAGCUUGCCGAACUCAAAGCUUCUGCUCCUCCUUCCAGCUGAUUUAAGCUAAAUACUGGACUUUAGUCUAGCAAUGGAACUAAGAAGCUUAAUUCUGUGCUUGAAGGGGCCAAAAAAAAAAAAAAAGAGUUGUUUUCAGAAAUAAAUUCGAAUAAGAAUUAAUGGCGACCAUAAAGUUAGUAGUUUUGUUUUUGGUUUCGUUUGGAACGGUAAAGCCUGUAUCAUUUGGGUUCUGUUAUCGGACUCGGCAGCAGCCUGUCUCGUGUCUUAUAAAAUUGAAAUUCCUUUCAGUCAUUUGCUGGAAAGAGCUCAUUAUCUAUACUCAUGUAUAAUACCAAGUAAAGGUAUGAAGGUUAUUGUGUUGUUUUUUCUCUGUGGAAUUUUUCCCCACGUACAGUACCCAUCUGGGCUACGUGCCAUAUAUGGUGUUAUAAAGUUAUCGUAUUAUGUAACGGUGAAAUUCCCGCAUGGCAUUUUGCAAGAAUUAACGAUUUUCAAACUCAGAAGACUUCUGUUUGCCACUGGAAUCUUAAAUUUUUGAGUUGCAAUCUGAAUUCUAAUGCACUUAUCAAUUGAAUAGUAUAAUAAAGAAAAAAGAAAUUUUACAUUUAUUAUUCCGUACAUGAGUAAUAGGUGGUAUUAAAAUUUAAGUUAGAACUUAGAUAUUGAAAUCUGUUUUGGCAUAUGGCUAUAAUAUAUUCACAACCUUUACAUUGCUGGAGAAAGUAGUUGUUAAUAAAUAAUCAUAUCAAAACUGAUUAAAAUGACCAUCGAACCUGUGUUGAUAGAAGUGCAGAAUUUGACGUUCUGUCAUUCUCUUUCCCAGAAAUCAAUUCUUGACAACACCACCACACCAAAACUGUAUACAUUUCACUAUUUUCAGUAACCGAAACGGCCGGUAAAAUCCGGGUCUGUAUGCCCGGGCCUAUCUUGAGGCCCAAUUCGUCCUGACUUCGUCUUAACUUAAACAAGAAGCUGCAAUAAGCCACUGAGAGUCUGAAACUGCAGCGCCAGUCCGCAUUUAAAGGAAAAAUAAAUAAAAAGAGAGAUAAAAAAUGGCAACACUGAAGAAAAUCCCUUUGGUUCUGAUGGGAUGCGGAGGCGUCGGACGCCAGCUCCUCCAGAACAUUGUUUCCUGCCGAUCACUUCAUGCCAAUCUGGUACUUCUUCUCCACUUUCCGAAGUUUAUUAGCGCUCCACAAAUUAACUAAUUAAUCAAUUAUUUAGUAGCUACAUAUUCUUUAAUUAUUAUAUGACAUCGGAGAUGUAUUCUUUUGGUAUGCACUUGCCUGCCUUCUAAUAAGCUCGUCGAUGAUUCUGUUUCUAUAGAAGACUGGUAAAUUUGUUUUAACUGUAACACUUCAUGAUUGAUGAUCGGUCGGCACAGCAGGGAGUGCAUUUGCGAGUGGUAGGAGUAAGUGACAGCAAGUCAUUGGUUGUUGCGUCGGAUGUUUUCACAAAGGAGUUCAACGAUAACCUCUUAUCAGAAAUUUGUCGCCUCAAGGCGGACCACUCUUCUCUCUCAAUGCUUAUUAGUGGUUUCGGAGGUAAUCCUCUUGUAUUGUAUUGUUGAGGAUAUAAUAGAUUACUCAUUCUGUUUAUUUCUCAUGCU
rnacentral:lncRNA from 1 species